GUCGUGAUUCGAGCGCCAGUUCAAAAAUUUCGUGUUUUAUUGGCAAAAGCCGAGUUAAGUCGGGUCCCGAUGCCGAAUUCGACCAUCGUUCUUGUCAAUGUACAUAACUAUGCAGUUUUCUAUUGGACUUUCUGACUUUGAGGCAAGAAAAGUGCGUGAAUUGUGAUGAAGAAGACGUUCGGCUUUCAGCCUUGGAAUCAUCAUCAUCGCUGAACCGCCGCAGCACCUUCAAGGGACCUUAAUGAAGUGCGCUGAUUCUACACAACUUUGUGGCACUCUUGGUUGGCCGAGUUUCUGGACACCCGAAGCGUCAGCAAACAUCUGUCGUUGGAUCAACUUGCAAUCACACUGAUCAAACAGCAG